CCCGGAAUAGUAUCCGCCCUAUAAGAAAUCUACGUGACACAGGUCCACCGAUUUACCUAUCCGUUAGAUAAUUUCUAUACGUCGAGAGGCGAGAGAUUUUUCCGAUUCUAGUUCAAUGCUGUCGCGACCCUGCAGAAAACCAGCGAGCCCUGAUAAGAACAGGUUUAGGAAGCAGCAGCAGAAUAAUACAGAAGUAUGGUUUCUAACAAAGUCGGAGAUGGAAACGUUAUCUGUGUUACUGGUGGAUACGAAGAGAACAAAACAUCUACAAUCGGUGAUCAUGUAUACGUUCAUGCAAUUUUUGACUUACAUCAGACGAAAAUCUAUUUUGAAUCGAGUGAGAAGUCAAACAUCUCCCUGGGGAUAGGCGGCUUCCGAUAAUAGACAACGGAGGCAACGAUUGUAAAUAAUUCCUCAACCAAUGCAAUCAAGGCUACAAGUGUGACCGUGAGUUUAUUCGUCACAGACAGAAUCCGCCGAAAAAUAGUCAGGGACAACACCUAUGACAGAGUGCUAAGAAUAUUCUUCUUAUCCGGAGCCACCCGACGGAUUUAAACACCUGCUGGUGAGGAAGGAACCAUCGUUCAAAAGAAGAUCCCAGCUACGUGGUAGAAUUUUUCUAGCGAGCGAUGACUGACUGACCACUGGACUCCGUGCUCAUCCGUCGCAUUGAUGUUGUAUAGGCAAUAAAUCAAGCAAAGCUGAUCAUCGACGGAAAUCUCAUCGACAUGUGUUCCCUGUAUCUUCCAAUACUGUGAGCAUCAAGUUGAAGGGACAUCACCGAAUCCUGUUGGUCUGAGUUUGCUUGAAUUGGAGUAGAAUUGCGAGUCGAUAAUGUUAGGCGGUAGCAAACCCGAUGUUGUAAACUUGACACAAAGGAAUCGUUGGCCAACCAACAAGCGAGAGCACCUGGAGUCGGUAUCGAAGCUGAUAGUUAUUGUUAUAUAACAAUGUAUAUAUAUUAUGUACAUAAUAUGAGUCCCGGAAGUAAGUGUAGGGCUCCCGAACGUAUAACUAAAAGAGUGUCAUUACUGAAACCUGAACGAAGAUACAUACUUAUCCUGGCGC